GAUCCUGGCUCAGAAUCAACGCUGGCGGCGUGCCUAACACAUGCAAGUCGAACGCGAAAGCCCCGCAAGGGGUAAGUAGAGUGGCAAACGGGUGAGUAACACGUGGGUGACCUGCCUUCGAGUGGGGGAUAACGUCCCGAAAGGGACGCUAAUACCGCAUGACAUCCUGCUCUUGGACGAGCGGAGAUCAAAGCUGGGGAUCGCAAGACCUGGCGCUUGAAGAGGGGCCCGCGCCUGAUUAGCUAGUUGGUGAGGUAACGGCUCACCAAGGCGACGAUCAGUAUCCGGCCUGAGAGGGCGGACGGACACACUGGGACUGAGACACGGCCCAGACUCCUACGGGAGGCAGCAGUGGGGAAUUGUUCGCAAUGGGCGCAAGCCUGACGACGCAACGCCGCGUGGAGGACGAAGAUUUUCGGAUCGUAAACUCCUGUCGAGCGGGAAGAAAAGCUGUGGAGCGAAUAGCUCCAGAGCCUGACGGUACCGCUAAAGGAAGCCCCGGCUAACUCCGUGCCAGCAGCCGCGGUAAUACGGGGGGGGCAAGCGUUGUUCGGAAUUACUGGGCGUAAAGGGCUCGUAGGCGGCCAACUAAGUCGGAUGUGAAAUCCCCAGGCUUAACCUGGGAACUGCAUCCGAUACUGGAUGGCUUGAAUCCGGGAGAGGGAUGCAGAAUUCCAGGUGUAGCGGUGA
rnacentral:rRNA from 1 species